GUCAGGAGCGUUGGUGCGUGCCUGUAGUCCCAGCUACCUGGGAGGCUGAGGUGGGAGGAUUGCUUGAGCCCAGGAGUUCUGGGCUGUAGUGUGCUAGGCCAAUCGGGUGUCCGCACUAAGUUCAGCAUGAAUAAGGUGACCUCCAGGAAGCAGGGGACCACCAGGUUGCCUAAUGAGGGGUGAACCGGCCCAGGGUGGAAACAGAGCAGGUCAAAACUCCUGUGCUGCUCAGUAAUGGGAUGGCACCUGUGUAUAGCCAUUGCACUCCAGCCUGGGCAACAUAGCGAGACCCUGGGUCU
rnacentral:SRP_RNA from 1 species